rnacentral:sRNA from 2 species
UUUUAGCCCCGAUUGCAACGGCAUCCUUUUUCUUUUUUUCAAGAAAAAGAAAAAGAUAGAGUGGAAAGCGGGUCUUCCC